rnacentral:lncRNA from 1 species
CUGAAGCUUCUAGUUUGUAGGAUUGGGCGGGGAAAGACUAUUUAGCCUCCAGGAGUCCUAGUUGGGGCGAAAGUCCCUCUAGCAACCUGGACGUCAGCUGUGUCCCUUCCACACCAGUGUCCUGACUCCUCCCCCAGGACAGAGAGCCCUUCCCCUCCACACCCUGGGGCCCGAGAAGUGGGCAUCUGAUUUCUUCCCCUUCUCCCUACAGCCUCUUGAAUGGAUGGAGACAGAGUCCCUCCGCAGACAUAAGAGGACGAGAGCUCUGGCCCAGAGGCCAGUGCCCUCUGCAGUUUCCCAGGGACAGGAGCCCAUGCCUGCUAGAGACAGAGGGCGGACACGGAGCCUGGGUGGGCUUGAUCAGCAUGCAGACUGAGCCUCCUUUAGCCCGUUUCCCUGCCCCUUUGCACAGGCUCUGAAGACAAGUUACAGGACAUGAGAAGAAACCCCAGGUGGCCUCCCCAUCAGCAGGUGAGCGGGUAGAGUCCUGACCAGAUGCCAGAGCAGUUUAAGAUGUCACUUCAUCCAGAGGGCAGAGGACAAGCAGGAGACCAACAGAGGCCCAGGUGGUCCAAGGAGCACUGGGUAAGGACCAGACCAGAGCUCCAGCCCAUGCGCCUGGGGCCUGAAGCAGUUUCCUCACCCGCGCUGCAUGUGAAAUGACCCCUGACUGUCCAGGUUAAGGAUGGCGGUAGCACUUCUGCCUGGAACGCUGUAUUGAGAACGAUUUUCUGAGGCUGUGGUUAAUUCGUGAUGCCCGUGGGGAGAGCCAGAGGUUGCUUGUCAAUGUCUUGUUACUUCUCUACCAUCCUGAUGAAGAGCAUUUGUCAGGGUUCUUCCAGCUCACAAAUCCUACCAGCCUAUGAUUUCGAAGUUAAAAUCUCCAGGCACUGGCUGGAAGCACCGGAAGUCAGAGGAGGAAGAGAUGUGAGUGGGUUAGAACCUCAGGGAAGGCUCUGGGGAGGAGGCGGCUCUCCACGAGGCCGUGCGGGUGCCGCGUGCUUGUUGUGCAGGAGGUGGGAGGACAUUUAUGGGCAAGAAAAUGGGGCUGAGCAGAGGCUGUUCACGGUACAGGGAGGAGGAGGCCAGCAUCGCUGGAACGCGCUGUCUCUGUCUCGGACAAACGGGAUCAGACGUGUGAGGUCGUGGUGGUGCCUGAAAACCAGAACUGACUCCGUGGGAAGACUCAGAACCAGAUGCUCCAGCACCGUUAUCCCAGGGGCCUCGCCCACACCCCCAGGUCAGCCAACGGUCAGGGAGUUUGUUGAUACAAGAACAAAAGUUACACUAGCGUGGAGCUGA